rnacentral:rRNA from 1 species
AUGAACGCUGGCGGCGUGCCUAAUACAUGCAAGUCGAGCGAACAGACGAGGAGCUUGCUCCUCUGACGUUAGCGGCGGACGGGUGAGUAACACGUGGAUAACCUGCCUAUAAGACUGGGAUAACUUCGGGAAACCGGAGCUAAUACCGGAUAAUAUAUUGAACCGCAUGGUUCAAUAGUGAAAGACGGUUUUGCUGUCACUUAUAGAUGGAUCCGCGCCGCAUUAGCUAGUUGGUAAGGUAACGGCUUACCAAGGCAACGAUGCGUAGCCGACCUGAGAGGGUGAUCGGCCACACUGGAACUGAGACACGGUCCAGACUCCUACGGGAGGCAGCAGUAGGGAAUCUUCCGCAAUGGGCGAAAGCCUGACGGAGCAACGCCGCGUGAGUGAUGAAGGUCUUCGGAUCGUAAAACUCUGUUAUUAGGGAAGAACAAAUGUGUAAGUAACUAUGCACGUCUUGACGGUACCUAAUCAGAAAGCCACGGCUAACUACGUG